rnacentral:rRNA from 1 species
ACGUGGGUGAUCUGCCCUGCACUUCGGGAUAAGCCUGGGAAACUGGGUCUAAUACCGGAUAUGACCUUGGGAUGCAUGUCCUGGGGUGGAAAGCUUUUGCGGUGUGGGAUGGGCCCGCGGCCUAUCAGCUUGUUGGUGGGGUGAUGGCCUACCAAGGCGACGACGGGUAGCCGGCCUGAGAGGGUGACCGGCCACACUGGGACUGAGAUACGGCCCAGACUCCUACGGGAGGCAGCAGUGGGGAAUAUUGCACAAUGGGCGCAAGCCUGAUGCAGCGACGCCGCGUGAGGGAUGACGGCCUUCGGGUUGUAAACCUCUUUCAAUAGGGACGAAGCGCAAGUGACGGUACCUAUAGAAGAAGGACCGGCCAACUACGUGCCAGCAGCCGCGGUAAUACGUAGGGUCCGAGCGUUGUCCGGAAUUACUGGGCGUAAAGAGCUCGUAGGUGGUUUGUCGCGUUGUUCGUGAAAACCCACAACUCAAUUGUGGGCGUGCGGGCGGUACGGGCAGACUGGAGUACUGCAGGGGAGACUGGAAUUCCUGGUGUAGCGGUGGAAUGCGCAGAUAUCAGGAGGAACACCGGUGGCGAAGGCGGGUCUCUGGGCAGUAACUGACGCUGAGGAGCGAAAGCGUGGGGAGCGAACAGGAUUAGAUACCCUGGUAGUCCACGCCGUAAACGGUGGGUACUAGGUGUGGGUUUCC